UACGUAGGGUGCAAGCGUUGUCCGGAAUUAUUGGGCGUAAAGAGCUCGUAGGCGGUCUGUCGCGUCUGCUGUGAAAACUCAGGGCUUAACCCUGAGCUUGCAGUGGGUACGGGCAGACUAGAGUGCGGUAGGGGAGACUGGAAUUCCCGGUGUAGUGGUGAAAUGCGUAGAUAUCGGGAGGAACACCAGUGGCGAAGGCGGCCACCUGGACUGCACCUGACGCUGACACGCGAAAGCUAGGGGAGCGAACGGG
rnacentral:rRNA from 1 species